rnacentral:sRNA from 1 species
AUCAUGUCCGUGGACUAUCCAAGAGAUUGAAUUGACGGACCAUGAUCAAUACCCCAGGACCCUUUGGUCCUGGGGUAUUGUUUUUACGA